UACGAAGGGGGCUAGCGUUGCUCGGAAUUACUGGGCGUAAAGCGCGCGUAGGCGGGUCGUUAAGUCGGGGGUGAAAUCCUGGAGCUCAACUCCAGAACUGCCUUCGAUACUGGCGAUCUUGAGUCCGGGAGAGGUGAGUGGAACUCCGAGUGUAGAGGUGAAAUUCGUAGAUAUUCGGAAGAACACCAGUGGCGAAGGCGGCUCACUGGCCCGGUACUGACGCUGAGGUGCGAGAGCGUGGGGAGCGAACCGG
rnacentral:rRNA from 1 species